UACGUAGGGUGCAAGCGUUGCCCCGGAUUUAUUGGGCGUAAAGGGCGCGUAGGCGGCCGAGCAAGUCAUGCGUGAAAUCUCCCGGCUCAACUGGGAGGGGUCGUGUGAUACUGCUUGGCUCGAGCAAGGUAGGGGGCAGUGGAAUUCCCGGUGUAGUGGUGGAAUGCGUAGAGAUCGGGAAGAACACCCGUGGCGAAGGCGGCAUGCUGGGUUGCGACUGACGCUGAGUUGCGAAAGUGUGGGAGCAAGCGGG
rnacentral:rRNA from 1 species